UACGUAGGAUGCAAGCGUUGUCCGGAUUUACUGGGCGUAAAGCGCGCGCAGGCGGCAGUACAAGUACCCUCUGAAAUCUCCUUGCUCAACGAGGAGGGUGGAGGGGUAGACUGUGCAGCUAGAGGAGGGUAGAGGGGGGGUAGAAUUGCUGGUGUAGCGGUGAAAUGCGUAGAGAUCAGCAGGAAUACCCGUGGCGAAGGCGGCCCCCUGGGCCCCUAAAAACCCUUUUCAUGGGGAAAACCAUG
rnacentral:rRNA from 1 species